UUAUUUCACCUCUAAGACAGAAACGUUACAAAGAACUGGUUGUUUAAUGUCCUGUGUAAAGGUUUAUAUUGUUUAUGUGGGUUUAAAGUGGCUCAUUCUGUCAGUGCAAAGAAUAUAAACAUUUUAAUGCCAGUGUGUUACAGACUUUUUGCUUUUCUUGGUCCCACAACAUUUUACUCAAAGAAAUCAGAAAGCAAAACUGUACUACAACUUACAAAUAAAGAUGUGCCAACAACUUUUUCUUCCCUUUUUAAAACACAAUAUUUUAAAACAGUUGUAUAAAAGUAUUUCAAAGGACCAGUGUGGAGGAUUUAGUGGCAUCUAGUGGUGUAGCUGCAGAUUGCAACUGCGUCGCCUCGCCCUCAGUUUCACCUAAGUGUGAAAGAGAAGCCACGGUAGCAGCUUAACACACAAAACGAGAAUGCCUCUACCUAGAGCCAGUGUUUGGUUUGUCCAUUCUGGGCUACCGUAGAAACAUGGUGGACUUCAUGGAAGAUGACCCACAGCAUUAAUAGAUAAACAUCUUAUUCUAAAGUAACAAACACAAUGAUUCCUAUAUUCAGGUGAUUGUACAGUAAUGAAAACAUACUGAUGAAUUAUUAUAUUCCGUUUCUGUUAAUAGAUCCUUCUGAAUGUUACACACUGGAGCUUUAAGUAUUCAGAUAUACGUGUUUAUAUGUAUAUCGCUCAGCACUAGUACAAAGUUUUCAAUAGGUAAAUAAAUUGUUUCCAAUCACUUUAACAAUCUAAUAACUAACCUCCCCCUUACCAGGUGAAUUCGAGAAAGGUGUGGAUCACCUGACCAAUGCGAUUGCAGUAUGCGGUCAACCUCAGCAGCUGCUCCAGGUGCUCCAGCAGACGCUGCCGCCUCCAGUCUUUCAAAUGCUGCUCACAAAACUGCCCACCAUCAGCCAGCGAAUCAUCAGCGCUCAGUCUUUAACAGAAGAUGACGUCGAAUGAGUGAGUGUGUGUGUGAUGAAAAUCAGACACUGGUGUUUGUGCACUGUUUUGGUAUGUGUGUGUGUGAGCCUGAUUAUGCCAGAGCUCAACCUUUGGACAUGAGAUGACGAUAACUCCCCCCCUCUCCCCUCUGUCGUGGCACUCCGAGGUUAAAGAGCUUCUUAAAGGUUAAGUUUCUGGGAAAUGUUAAAUCACAUUCCAACUUUCUCUCCCACCGGAUCCCGUGUCUUCUAUCUGUAACUAUAUUUAUUUCCCAUAAAAGUAAUUGUGUGUGUGUGUGGAGGUUGGUGCUGAUAUGUUAUGCACUAAAUGGAAGAAAAAAAAAAGGGUAUGUAAAUGAUUUGUUACAUAUUGAUGCGCAGUUGAUUUACAUGUGAAAUGUGUGUACGAGUGCCUACACUAAACAGAAUUUGUUUGUAGAAUAUUGUCGAUUUUUCUGAAUUAUCUUUUUCGGUUAAGUGUUAUUUUUAUAUUCCAGUUUCUCAUAUCUGGAUGUAUUUUUGUGUGUAAAAUCCUUAAAAAUAAAUCAUGAAAACACA